AUACGUAGGGGGCAAGCGUUGUCCGGAAUUACUGGGCGUAAAGGGUGCGUAGGCGGUUUGGUAAGUUAGAUGUGAAAUCCCCGGGCUUAACUCGGGAGUUGCAUUUAAAACUGCUGAACUAGAGUGCAGGAGAGGAAAGCGGAAUUCCUAGCGUAGCGGUGAAAUGCGUAGAUAUUAGGAGGAACACCAGUGGCGAAGGCGGCUUUCUGGACUGUAACUGACGCUCAGACGCGAAAGCUAGGGUAGC
rnacentral:rRNA from 1 species